rnacentral:rRNA from 1 species
CUUAAAAUCUAAGCAUAUCAAUAAGCGGAGGAAAAGAAACCAACAGGGAUUACCUCAGUAACGGCGAGUGAAGCGGUAACAGCUCAAAUUUGAAAUCUGGCCUCACGGUCCGAGUUGUAAUUUGUAGAGGAUGCUUCGAGCAUGGUCUGGCCUAAGUUCCUUGGAACAGGACGUCAUAGAGGGUGAGAAUCCCGUAUGCGGCCAGGUGCCUACGCUCAUGUGAAGCUCCUUCGACGAGUCGAGUUGUUUGGGAAUGCAGCUCAAAAUGGGUGGUAAAUUUCAUCUAAAGCUAAAUAUUGGCCAGAGACCGAUAGCGCACAAGUAGAGUGAUCGAAAGAUGAAAAGCACUUUGGAAAGAGAGUUAAACAGUACGUGAAAUUGUUGAAAGGGAAGCGCUUGCAACCAGACUUGCGCGCGGCCGAUCAUCCGGUGUUCUCACCGGUGCACUCGGCCGUGCUCAGGCCAGCAUCGGUUUUGGCGGCUGGAUAAAGGCCCUAGGAAUGUGGCUCCUCUCGGGGAGUGUUAUAGCCUAGGGUGCAAUGCAGCCUGCUGGGACCGAGGACCGCGCUUCGGCUAGGAUGCUGGCGUAAUGGUUGUAAGCGGCCCGUCUUGAAACACGGACCAAGGAGUCUAACAUCUAUGCGAGUGUUUGGGUGUCAAACCCAUACGCGUAAUGAAAGUGAACGGAGGUGAGAACCCUUAAGGGUGCAUCAUCGACCGAUCCUGAUGUCUUCGGAAGGAUUUGAGUAAGAGCAUAGCUGUUGGGGACCCGAAAGAUGGUGAACUAUGCCUGAAUAGGGUGAAGCCAGAGGAAACUCUGGUGGAGGCUCGCAGCGGUUCUGACGUGCAAAUCGAUCGUCAAAUUUGGGUAUAGGGGCGAAAGACUAAUCGAACCAUCAAGCCU